ACUUUUCCAUAAAAUUUGUGUAGAAUUUGGAAAUAUCUUGUCUUGAAAAGAAUUUGGAUAUGAGACUCGGUGUAGUCACCAAAGAAACUAAACCUGGUCUAACUGGUUGUUGAGAUCAUCUGCACUUUGGUCAGGAAAUUAUCUCCUAAUCCUAAUAGUGCUGCUAUAAUGGCCAUGGGUGUUAACAUCUUGGCAAAGAGAUUGAAAUGAUUGGGAUUCUUGAUUGAGUUUCUAUCCCAUGCUGCCAUUGUUGGGUUCAUGGGAGGAGCUGCCAUUACAAUUGCCCUUCAGAAGCUCAAAGGAUUGCUUGGCAUAAAAAAGAAUUUCACAAAGAAGACAGGUAUUGUCUCUGUUUUGCGCUCAGUGUUUAAUUCAACCCACCAUGUUGUAAUAUGAUUUCUUAAGCCUAGACUAGUAGACUAAAUAUUGUAAUUACAUUUGAGUAAUUAAUAAAAAUCUAUUUAUGUUA